GCUAAUUAUUCUAUUUGUUGUUUUAGUUGGUUUAAAAUUCAUUGAAUCUCCUUUUUAAAAAAAAAAAAAAAAAUUCCGUUUGACUUCCUAGAUUGAUUGAAGUCAGACAUAGAAUUUCUCCAAUCUUCCAUUGCUGAUUCUUCCAUAGUCGAGCUAUCUACACCAGAUUUAUUUGAUUGGGGGGAAUAAAAUGCUGAAACUCCUUUAUCUUGUUUAUUGUCCAUUUUUGCAGUAGCAAUUUUAUCACUUAUUUCUUAGUUCGAUUUCUUUUGCCUUUCUUUUUUAAUCACUGAUAAUCUCC